rnacentral:rRNA from 1 species
UACAGAGGUCUCAAGCGUUGUUCGGAUUCAUUGGGCGUAAAGGGUGCGUAGGUGGCGCCGUAAGUCAGGUGUGAAAUCUCGGGGCUCAACCCCGAAACUGCACUUGAUACUGCGGUGCUCGAGUACUGGAGAGGAGAUUGGAAUUUACGGUGUAGCAGUGAAAUGCGUAGAUAUCGUAAGGAAGACCAGUGGCGAAGGCGAAUCUCUGGACAGUUCCUGACGCUGAGGCACGAAGGCCAGGGGAGCAAACGGG